rfam:Fulvivirga imtechensis AK7 contig174, whole genome shotgun sequence.
UGUGGCCCACCGAAGGCAAUCUACAGGGAUAGCCUUCAAACCACUCUACGGUGCUGUCCUGGUAACGGGGUGGUAUUGAGCGGAUAGAGAAAAGGUUCUUUAAUGAAUCAGGU